CACUCACCGCCUGUCACAUCACCCGAGUCUGGUGCUCCCGAAGUCGCUGGCCGAACCCGCAAGGGACGGAGGCGCCGAAGGAGUGCCCGGUAAGGGGGUG
rnacentral:rRNA from 1 species